rnacentral:lncRNA from 1 species
UGGUACAAAACCUACAUAUUUUAAAGACUAGCAUCUUGUGUCAAUUGGAGUACUUCCCCCUUUUCUUGCCUUUCUUCUUAACAUGAAUAAGAUAAUUCUUAAAACAUAAAAGAUACUGACAUAAACACAUUUACAAAUGUAUCUAGUGUACUAGUGAUGAAUAAAAUCCCCUCCUUUUUCCACAAUUCUAAGGGCUCAUUAAUUUAUCUGUAUUCAUGUAAUGCAUGUCCAGAGUUCUGUUAAUCAAACAAGCAUUACAACCCAUAAUUAAUUUAUCUGCAAAAAUUGUCUGUCCUGCUGCAUAUUUCCAUUCCGUUUUAAACCUAGCCCUGAAAAACCUUGCACUUGGAUAAUAUUAGUAUAAACACCAUGUCUAUUUGUGCCAACCUUCCAAAUUUUUAAUAUUUUGCUAUCCUAAUUUGGUACAGAUCCUUUAUCCUCAAAACUUAUCAGGGGCAGUAGGCGUGUUUGUACAUGUUGUAUGGUAGUUAGUCACUCCUUACAUGUAUGAUUACUAGCCUCUAGGUAUUGGUUUGAGCCCUAGUUGGGCAGUUGCAAAAUUAAGGUUUGAUUUUCAUGUCAUAUGUGAUAAGGUUAGUCAGUUUCCUUCCGCAGGUUGGCGUUUUCCUUCAAGUACUACGGUUUAGUAAGCCACUAAAACUGACUGCCAUGAAAUUACCCAUAUGGUGUAAAAAGUGAUGUUUAUAAAACCAUGAAAACCAAAGCAAACAAUCAAAGUUUAAAAUCUUUGUCCAUUUGUACAAGGAGCCGUAGUGGUUAAGCCAUUUAACUUAUGGUUAUUUUACCAAACUGUGACCACAACUUCAAGAUGUGACAUCAGGCCUCUGUUCAAUGGGCAGUCCCACAACUCUGCCAACAAAACUGACUGUCUUACAUGAAAUUAUCCAUAUGCUGUAGAAUGUGACAUUGACGGUUGACCCCUUUCAAAGAAACCACCAGCAUGUACACACAACAAUGCUGCAAUGCUUUGGACAAAAUUGAUCUAGAGACUUCAUGAUUAACAUGGAUAAAGCUUUUAAAUGUAAAAAAAAAAAAAAAAAUUCCCUACCUACCUACCCACCUGCUGAUAGUGUGGGUCGGCAAUGCCAAACAAACAAUUUUUUAAGGGUGGCCC